UGAAAGAUAAAAGCAUGCAACAGGUCGUUAUUCCCUUGUGUGAAACUCCUUCUUCUUCUUUUUGCAGAAGUCUUUACGCUUUGUUUUUAAUGUCCAAAUGCUUCCUCUGUUAAAGCUUGUCUUAAUCCUUAAAUUAGUAGUCUGACAUCCAUUAAAAAGACCAGCAGCGAUG